rnacentral:tRNA from 1 species
GGGCCCUUAGCUUAGUUGGUAGAGCGUCUGCUUUGCACGCAGAAGGUCAGGAGUUCGAAUCCCCUAGGGUCCA